UACGAAGGGGGCUAGCGUUGCUCGGAAUCACUGGGCGUAAAGCGCACGUAGGCGGAUCUUUAAGUCAGGGGUGAAAUCCUGGAGCUCAACUCCAGAACUGCCUUUGAUACUGGGGAUCUCGAGUCCGGAAGAGGUGAGUGGAACUCCGAGUGUAGAGGUGAAAUUCGUAGAUAUUCGGAAGAACACCAGUGGCGAAGGCGGCUCACUGGUCCGGUACUGACGCUGAGGUGCGAAAGCGGUGGGGAGCAAACAGGG
rnacentral:rRNA from 1 species